UUGUAGUCUGCAACCCGACUACAUGAAGCUGGAAUCGCUAGUAAUCGCGAAUCAGAAUGUCGCGGUGAAUACGUUCCCGGGUCUUGUACACACCGCCCGUCACACCAUGGGAGUCGGAAAUGCCCGAAGUCAGUGACCCAACCGUAAGGAGGGAGCUGCCGAAGGUGGAGCCGGUAACUGGGGUGAAGUCGUAACAAGGUAUC
rnacentral:rRNA from 1 species